AUAGAUCCUUCAAAGAGCUGUGGCUGUAGGCUAUUUUUGAUUCCUCUCCUUGGAAUGGUGCUGUUAAGCAUGUCAUGAAGACCCUCAGGAUUUGCUGCUCUGGCAGAACAGUCUGAAAGCUAGACAACUACUCUGAGUUGCCUAUUGGAUGCCUAUUGUCAAUGGGAAAUCAACACCAGGGAGACCUCCACCCAAAAGUGUGUCCAUAAAAGAGAAAUAAAGGUUCCCAAAAUGAAGCCUGAAACAUUUA